AAGUUCCGACCCGCACGAAAGGUGUAACGACUUGGCCGCUGUCUCUAGGAGGGACCCGGCGAAACUGAGAUACCCGUGAAGACGCGGGUUACGCACACUUGGACAAAAAGACCCCGUGGAGCUUUACUGCAUCUUGGCAUUGGACUGGGGUUACGCAUGUGUAGCAUAGGUGGGAGACUUUGAAGCCGGCGCGCUAGCGUCGGUGGAGUCAACAGUGAAAUACCACCCUUGCGUGACUUCGGCUCUAACGGCUGUCCGUGAUCCGGCAGCCGGACAUUGCCAGGUGGGCAGUUUGACUGGGGCGGUCGCCUCCUAAAAGGUAACGGAGGCGCCCAAAGGUACCCUCAGGCUGGGUGGAAAUCAGCCUUAGAGUGCAAAGGCAUAAGGGUGCUUGACUGUGAGGCAUACAAGCCGAACAGGGACGAAAGUCGGGCUUAGUGACCUUCUGAUCUCGAGUGGAAGAGUCAGGAAUCAUCGGAUAAAAGCUACCCCGGGGAUAACAGGCUUAUCACGCCCAAGCGUUCACAGCGACGGCGUGGUUUGGCACCUCGAUGUCGGCUCGUCGCAUCCUGGGGGGGCAGUACCUCCCAAGGGUUGGGCUGUUCGCCCAUUAAAGCGGUACGCGAGCUGGGUUCAGAACGUUGUGAAACAGUUUGAGAUUAGAGCUGUUGUCUUUCCCACACCGUUCGUAUCAGCCUGUUUGAGCGAAAGGAAAGCUCGGCACACGCGCCGAGAUAAAUCUGGCCAAAUGCUGGGAACUCCGAGGAUCCCGCGCUACUGUCUCGCCGAGUGCGAGCAGUGACAACGCGUCGGGUGCGGACAAUCAGCAGGAAAGGCCAUGUCCAGGCCGCGAACGUGAGCGAUGACUACCUCCUUGGCUUCAUCGAAGGCGAGGGCAUGUUCCAUGUUGGGAUCGUGCCAAGCCGCUUUACGAAGCUCGGGUGGCAGGUCAUCUACCUCUUCAAGGUCGCGCAGAAUCCGAUCGGCGAGGGCGUUCUCCGGGCACUGCAGGAGCGCCUCAGAUGCGGAACGAUCUCUCCCAACGCCCGCGAGGGUGCGAGAGACAGGACGCUGAAGUACGUCGUACGGGACUACCAGAGCCUCGUCACGAAGGUCAUCCCCUUCUGUGACGGCCGGCUCGUCAUCAAGCGCGAUGCUCUAGAGGCACUACGCGCCGUUCUCGACAGGAUCGCUGUCGGUCGGCACCUCACGGCGAACGGACUGCUCGAGAUCGUGGACAUCGCCUACGCGAUGAACACGAGGACGCGACGCGUUCCUCGAGCGACGAUCGAAGCGGCCACUCAAGGACGUGGAAUCCUCACAGGCCAUACGCCGGACUUGCCUCAAUAGGGCAAGAAGAUAUGGUCGGACCCCUGCGGCGACGCAGGGAGCCAGCGGGAACAGAAACCAGCUGGCCGUAGUAACAAGAAUGUCGGUCUCUAUCCAGUGUGCGCGCAGGUGAGUUGAGAGGAGCUGCCCCCAGUACGAGAGGACCGGGGUGGGCGGACCGAUGGUGUACGAGUUGUCCUGCCAAGGGCACCGCUCGGUAGCUAUGUCCGUUCCGGAUAACCGCUGAAAGCAUCUAAGUGGGAAGCCGACCUCGAGAUGAGCUCACCCUCUGGGCAACCAGGUAAGACCGCAGGUAGA
rnacentral:rRNA from 1 species